GUCCAGCUGACUAGUCCCAAAUAGGACGAAACGCGCGUCCUGGAU
rfam:Schistosoma haematobium scaffold1165_16, whole genome shotgun sequence.